rnacentral:misc_RNA from 1 species
AUGUUUGGAAGUUCUUUCUCAGGUGAACUGAUAAUUCAGAAAUGCCCAAAAAUUUUCGGAUUCCAUUUUGCUCUAAAUACUAUAUUUGUAUAUUAUAGAUCACAAGUUUCCUUUAUUUUUUUAUGUACCUUAAUUUUUUUAUGUUUCAUAAUUAAUGAAAUGAGAAUUUAAAUGUUCAGCCAGUAGGUAUCUAAUUUUGCUGCCACGCCUGUAUUCUUUUUUUUU